UCUUAUGGAUGAGCAAAGAAAGUAGUUUCUUAAGACACAAUCUCCUCCUGGUGAAGAUGUUGUGAA
rnacentral:pre_miRNA from 4 species